GACGAACGCUGGCGGCGUGCCUAAUACAUGCAAGUCGAACGAACCGCGACUAGGUGUUUGCACUUGGUCAAGGUGAGUGGCGAACGGGUGAGUAACACGUGGGUAACCUACCUCAUAGUGGGGGAUAACAGUCGGAAACGACUGCUAAUACCGCAUAGGACAUAGGAUCACAUGAUCCAGUGAGGAAAGGUGGCGCAAGCUAUCGCUAAGAGAUGGACCCGCGGUGCAUUAGCUAGUUGGUAGGGUAAAGGCCUACCAAGGCGAUGAUGCAUAGCCGACCUGAGAGGGUGAUCGGCCACAUUGGGACUGAGACACGGCCCAAACUCCUACGGGAGGCAGCAGUAGGGAAUCUUCCGCAAUGGACGCAAGUCUGACGGAGCAACGCCGCGUGAGUGAAGAAGGUCUUCGGAUCGUAAAGCUCUGUUGUUAGAGAAGAACAGCGCAUAGAGUAACUGUUAUGCGUGUGACGGUAUCUAACCAGAAAGCCACGGCUAACUACGUG
rnacentral:rRNA from 1 species